GAUACUGUGGCAGGGUAUGGUGGAUGAUAAUCAUUCAUGCAACCACCAUGCACAUGGUCUGCAUUUUGCUAUUUGUGGAUAUGUUUCAACUCCGAUUGUCCAAAUUAUGGUAGUGCUUUAAUGGAGUGUAUGCUGGAUUGAUUAUAAUUCUUCCAUCAAUGGGAAUCAACUGGCUAGCUAGAAUAAGAAAUUGCCAACUGACAGAAUUCAAUGGGCAUGUCCAUUGAUUGGACAUUAUGAUAGUCAAGUCAGUGUGUUUUUGUAGCAAUGACCCACCCCAGUGGGUCCACACAUUGGACUAACUGGAGUGAGUACAUGUCUGUAUCUUCCAGGUGGAUUCAUGCACAAUAUGGUCCAUCAUACUCCGCCCUUGGUAUCAUACAAUUCUUCUUUUCUAACACAUGCAUGCAUGGAAUCACCACUGUUUAUGAAUAACUAUAGAUAUUCUUCUGAUUGUAUUAUAAUACAGAGUGCUCUGCCCUUUUGAAACAAUCAUGGAUAAUUCAUGAAAUUUUUUAGGAAAAAGGAUUUUCCUGAGUAAUUCACAAAUUAUCUGCCAGCUAUGAAUUAUUCACAAAUGAGUGUCAGGCUAACUUCAUAAGCAUCAAGGGACCUGAGCUGCUGACUAUGUGGUUUGGAGAGAGUGAGGCUAAUGUGAGGGAGAUAUUCGAUAAAGCUCGCCAAUCAGCUCCGUGCAUGCUUUUCUUUGACGAGCUUGACUCAAUUGCAACCCAGUUGUGGCAGUGUAAAUUUUUUAGUCCACAGAAAUCUCAUCGAGGGGCCAAAGCAUUUGGAUAUUUUUGAAGUUGAUUCACACUUCCGCUGCCGCCAUUUCUAGGACUGAUUAACGCUUGACCUGCACUAGUACCUACAUGGUUUGAAGCUCAUAUUGGAUGAAAAUGGCUGUCAAUCGAAGUCUACGGGCAUGCUCCAUCCACACCGAGAUCCAUCAAAUCAAGUCUGGAUUACCACCUGCACUACUUGUAGAGAAUUGACCCAAGACAGUUUUCACACCCCAAUGCACCAUGGUGCCCAUUGCUUCUGUUUUGCUCAUGGUUUGCUGGUAAUUUACUCAAGGGGCAGACAGUUGGAGUGAUCGGAGCAGAAACUCCUGCAUCAAAAUCCAAUGAGAACAAAUGGAUAAGAAUGAAGUGCAUCCACAAGGUCCUUCCCAAUGCUCCAAAGACAAUGGCCACAUCAAAAGAACAGGAUGCUUGACUUUCACUCCGCUUGCUCCCUAAUCUGCUGCCAGCACUCUUGCCCCUUUGAUCCUCAUGAUCGGGGUCAGCAUGGUGAAAGAGGCCAUCAAAGAUUGGAAGCGAAAAACACAGGU